UACCCGCAGCUCAAGUGGUGGUCAUUAUUAUUGGGCCUAAAGCGUCCGUAGCUGGCUUGUUAGAUGCCUGGGUAAAUCGAUGCGCUCAACGUAUCGAAUUCCGGGUAGACCGGCAAGCUCGAGACCGGGAGAGGCGUGAGCUACUCAAGGGGUAGGGGUAAAAUCCUGUAAUCCUUUGGGGAGGACCAGUGGCGAAGGCGUCACGCUAGAACGGCUCCGACAGUGAGGGACGAAGCCCUGGGGCGCAAACCGG
rnacentral:rRNA from 1 species